rnacentral:rRNA from 1 species
GAUUGAACGCUGGCGGCAUGCCUUACACAUGCAAGUCGAACGGCAGCACGGGAGCAAUCCUGGUGGCGAGUGGCGAACGGGUGAGUAAUACAUCGGAACGUGCCCAGUAGUGGGGGAUAACCCGGCGAAAGCCGGACUAAUACCGCAUACGACCUACGGGUGAAAGCAGGGGAUCGCAAGACCUUGCGCUAUUGGAGCGGCCGAUGUCAGAUUAGCUUGUUGGNGGGGUAAAAGCCUACCAAGGCAACGAUCUGUAGCUGGUCUGAGAGGACGACCAGCCACACUGGGACUGAGACACGGCCCAGACUCCUACGGGAGGCAGCAGUGGGGAAUUUUGGACAAUGGGCGCAAGCCUGAUCCAGCCAUGCCGCGUGCGGGAAGAAGGCCU